GGGUUCGUAGCUCAGUUGGUUAGAGUACUACCUUGACAUGGUAGGGGUCGGCGAUUCGAGUUCGCCCGGACCCACCA
rnacentral:tRNA from 2 species